rnacentral:rRNA from 1 species
AUGAACGCUGGCGGCGUGCCUAAUACAUGCAAGUCGAGCGAACAGACGAGGAGCUUGCUCCUCUGACGUUAGCGGCGGACGGGUGAGUAACACGUGGAUAACCUACCUAUAAGACUGGGAUAACUUCGGGAAACCGGAGCUAAUACCGGAUAAUAUAUUGAACCGCAUGGUUCAAUAGUGAAAGACGGUUUUGCUGUCACUUAUAGAUGGAUCCGCGCCGCAUAGCUAGUUGGUAAGGUAACGGCUUACCAAGGCAACGAUGCGUAGCCGACCUGAGAGGGUGAUCGGCCACACUGGAACUGAGACACGGUCCAGACUCCUAAGGGAGGCAGCAGUAGGGAAUCUUCCGCAAUGGGCGAAAGCCUGACGGAGCAACGCCGCGUGAGUGAUGAAGGUCUUCGGAUCGUAAAACUCUGUUAUUAGGGAAGAACAAAUGUGUAAGUAACUAUGCACGUCUUGACGGUACCUAAUCAGAAAGCCACGGCUAACUACGUG